UGUUCCCUGCUUGUUUUCAUUUUAUGGUUGUAUACACAAUGCUGCCAAAGCCACAGUGAGGAAAAGAGUGGGGAAGAGAGGGGGGGGGGAUCAAUCAGGAAUGAAGCAGAGAUAGACAAACAAGCCCACUCAUGGUAGGCAUCUUUGUGCAGCUCGGAAACAAACUCUCUCUUAUGUAAUCACAUUCUCAAACAUACAUAAAAGAGGUCUCUGCGUUGAGCAGUUGCAUGGAAAUAUAAACUGGAGAUUAGUGGCAAAGAGACCACGAGUCCACAGAGGGACACAGCAUUUCUGGUCUCAGUGCAAUCCCAGAAUCGUCAACUAACGCAUGGUUCUUUGCCUUGUCGUCCAGGUAUGCAAGAGGAAUAUAUACGAUGCAUCAGAGAUCUUGAGGUGAUUAACUGAAAACUUAGGGGGAUCGGGAGAAAGAUGAAAUGUUUUCUAGCAGCAUAUUCUCAUAUGCCGAGGCAAAUCAAUGAUGAAUGUAAACCACACGCCGAGCUGGGGGAGAACAAACAAAGGAAAGCAACAGAUUAAAUCUCUCUUUGGGACUGACUGAAGGCUCCAAAGAGGAGGAAAAUGAGCAGAAAUCAGGAGCCUCUUAAUCACUAACUCAGCACCGAGCGAGCGAAUAAGAGAGCGAAGAGGUGAAGAGGAUAGCAACGGAUCGGAAGCAGGUGCUAACCUGAAUUCUGUCAUUUUUGUACUCAAGAGAAGGAAGGGGUGUGUGUGUGUGUGUGUGUGUGUGUGUGUGUGUGUGUGUGUGUGUGUGUGUGUAUGUGUGGUAGCCAAGCUCUUUUAGAUCCUUUCAUCCCUAGCAGAACACAGCUUUGGACUCUGAAGUGUGACAAAGCCUAAUAACAUUUUCCCAAAAACUACUGGAGUUUUAGGUGCAUUUAGAAUCCAUGAGUCAGCAGAAUUAAAAUAUUAAGUUUGCAGUGUGUGUGUGUGUGCAUGCGCAUGUGUGUGUGUGUGUGUGUGUGUGUGUGUGUGUGUGUGUGUGUGUGAGUGAGUGAGAGAGAUCGAGAGAGAGUGUGUUACCAUCUUU